UAGACUUGGUCCGCCUCUUACGUGGCGAAAUAGCAAUGAUUCCACACAAUGCACAUUCGCAUUGAUGAAGGAACUGGAGCCUGGAUCAGUAGGCCCACCUUCAACGGAGUCUUCCAUUGGGUAACCGCAGAUUCCAUUCCCCCAGGCGCAUGCUCUGUUCCGGACUUUCGGCUGACUGGCAAAGCAGAGAGAGUAUACUGUAGGCAGUAGAUGUUGUACAUUGGCAGGAUGGUACCUCUUCCUGGUACAUCUAUACAUGGGAUAGUCUCAGUAACUGAGCCAUCCAUUAUACCGACCUUCCUUAGAGGGACUGUGUGUGUGUAUACCAAGAUAGGAAGGCAACACAGUUCAGAGGAAGGCCAGCAUCCAUCAGUCGGUGUGUGUUGUGUUGUGUUGUUAUCUGGUCUUCUCCCCCAUUGAAGAGCGGCAUCGGAUGUAUAUCCUGACUGGCAACCUAGAUUGCUGGUAGCAUAUCAACAAAGGUCGAUUCUUCAUACUGAUCAUUGGUUGAGCUGUGUUGGUUGAUAUGAUUCAUCAUGAACCAUUAUCUUAGAUUCUGUUCCAGCCUUUCUUUCGGUCGCGGUGGGCUCCCGCGUAGCUCAUGUUGCGCCGUUCAUUGGUGUGUGUUCCACCUGCGUCUCCUUGCCUGUUGCCAUAUCUUGACACGACAUCUUCUCGACGCCUACAGUCUGAUCUCUCAUACUAGCAAUAUGUGCAGGUUGUAUUUUUGUUUUCAUGUGUUGAGAUAUCAGUAUGCACAAGGGUACACCAUGCAUGAUCUUGGCCAUUUCUCGAAAGAAAGGAAAAUGAUGAAGUACUACGUACUAGAUUUAAGGCACAUUUUAAAACAUUCCAAAUCAGCUUUACCUGUAAAACAUUUCAGGAAGAGAUGGUCAAUAUGGCAACUCUUGUCACCUUUUCGGAGAUAACUCCAUAACUUGUCUUUGGUUAGAAUACUAUUUAUCGGAUCGUAUAAGCACCUUGAGUUUAAGAGGUAUUUUGACUUUUCUAGAGAAAUUUAUGAGGAAAUCCAAUUCCUAUAGAAGGAACAUAAUGAGAACAAUUUGCUAUGUUUGCAUAGUCGCUCCUGAUGAUUGAUGAGUAGCCCUAUAAACCGGAAAGGAGGGAGUA
rnacentral:lncRNA from 1 species